AUACGUAGGGGGCGAGCGUUGUCCGGAAUGAUUGGGCGUAAAGGGCGCGUAGGCGGCCCGGUAAGUCUGGAGUGAAAGUCCUGUUUUUAAGAUGGGAAUUGCUUUGGAUACUGUCGGGCUUGAGUGCAGGAGAGGUAAGUGGAAUUCCCAGUGUAGCGGUGAAAUGCGUAGAGAUUGGGAGGAACACCAGUGGCGAAGGCGACUUACUGGACUGUAACUGACGCUGAGGCGCGAAAGUGUGGGGAGCAAACAGGAUUAGAUACCCUGGUAGUCCACGCUGUAAACGACGAAUACUAGGUGUGGGGGGACUGACCCCCUCCGUGCCGCAGUUAACACAAUAAGUAUUCCACCUGGGGAGUACGAUCGCAAGAUUGAAACUCAAAGGAAUUGGCGGGG
rnacentral:rRNA from 1 species